UAAGCAGAUAACAAAUUCACCGGAAGAAGAGAGCCGUAGACCCAACAAAAGCACGCACAACCCCAAAUUCACCCAACACAAAACCACUGGCACACAGAGACAAACCCUCCCCUAUAAAGACGUUCAUCACAAUAACUACUCACUUCUGGGCCCCACAAUGGACACCGUACAGCCUGGUGGAGCCCUCGCCGGAGAUGAUCUCUCCUCCCUAUCUUCGUCCCCCGCCACCAUCUUGUCGCGGUGGACAUUCGCCUUGUCGCGACGUUACCAGCAUCUGCUGGACAAGACGGUUCCUUAUAUCCUUUACCGAUGGAUCGCCUGUCUC
rnacentral:misc_RNA from 1 species